GGAGAGGUGCGAGAGCGGCCGAAUCGGACUCACUGCUAAUGAGUUGACUUGGGAAACCGGGUCCGAGGGUUCAAAUCCCUCCCUCUCCGCCA
rnacentral:tRNA from 1 species